UGUGUGUGUGUGUGUGUGUGUGUGUAUGUGUGUGCGUGCGUGCGUGCGUGUGCAUACACCCACACACCACAUA